AUAUAUGUAUAGGAUAAAUGUAAAUACCUCUUCUCUGGUGCAGAAAUCUGGGCUUGGGGGGAUUAUUGACACUUGAGCAGACUCUUUGGGGAGCAUUGAGACCAAUGGAUGAAAACAGUUGAAGUAUGACGUGAACAAGGAGCCAGCCUGUUCCAGAGAACGUGAUGUCUCUUCCUUUCUCUCUGCGAUCCAACAAAUCCCAUCCCCCAGCUCCUCAGUGGCCCCGGAUGACCCGGUCUGGCCAAUCAGUCCUUCAUCCCUCUGGCCUCAGUGACUGGAUGAGAGAUGGGCACGUGGCUAAAACCGGGCCAGAGUUCUCUCUGGAACUUUCUGCCAGUGCUCCUGAGAAAAAUACUGGCUUUUUCUUCGGGUUUGUGGUGGAAAGAACGAUACGAGUUGAGCACACGCAGUCACGAUCUUACUAUUUUUGAAAUAGCCUGAGAAGGGAAAGAGCAUUUGUGAGCAGAACUGGGAGAGAGAGGGAGGGGCGCAGAGAGAAGGAGAGCCCGGAGGACAGCGUUCCGGUUCCCAGCCAUUGUGAGUUGAUCACCACCCUGUUCAGUACAGUAAAGCAGUAAAUAGAUUUUUUUUAAACCUAAUGUCACGUUGUCUCCUGCCAUGCACAACUGAGAGAAUACGGACUGCCGCCAUAUUCCAGGGACCGAAUUCUGUUUUCCCCAAAUUUGGAUGUUGAAACCUUAACCUCCAAUUUGACUGUAUGAGGAAGUAAGGCUGUUAGGAGGUAAUUGGGGUUAAAUGCAGUCAUAAGGGCCAGGUCCUAAUUAAGUAGGACUGGCAGUCUAUAGGAAGGGGAAGAGAGAGAUCUCUCUCUCUCUCCAAGCGCACUCGCAGAAGAAAGGGUACGUGAGCACGUGACAAGAAGGUGACUGUCUACAAGCCAGAAAGGGGCUCCUCCCCAGAGCCCCACCAGCUGGACACUGACCUUGGACAUCCAGCUUCCAGAAUGUGAGAAAUAGAUUUCUGUGGUUUAAGCCACUCAGUCUAUGGUCAUUCUUCUUCUUCUUUUUUUUUUUUUUUUAUGGCAUCCUGCGCAGAUUUCUACACUUGGCAGCAAGGUUAGGAAGGUUAGGAAGAAAAGGUAACGUGGACAAAGACGCAGAUCCUUGGGAAACUGUAACCUUGGCCAGGGAGAGGUUUCCUAAAUUAGUAAUGUACCCGAUGACUUGGUUUGGGGGGGGGCUGACUUGGGGACUGUGCACCUUCAGUUCUCUCUGCAGGGCGAUAUACAAGCAGAGAUCACAGGCUCGAUCAUUACAGAAGUUACUGUUAGUCGAUGGGUUGGUGUCCGGGUCUUAGAGUUACUGAAUAUCUUAAGUAUGUCGCCUGUCCCCUAUCUUGCUGGGAGACUGUGGCCCUGGGCUUAGGAGCAAGUGAUAAAGGAGGAGGUGAGAAGGCAGCGACAAGGCAGGGAGGCCAGUGAGCACAGAUCAGGGCUCACAAUGGUGCUUUAAGGGCUGGGGAGAGCCCGCGCAACGCCCCAAAGGCCAAGAGCAAACUGGGGCAAGAGGAGGCAUGCUUUUCCCGACUCUGGGUUUCUCAGCGGGAUAAUACAAAGCAUAAAUACUUAGAUGCACAGAUGGAGAAAGUUAAAGAGUAGAAAGACAGCUGUAAAUAUUAGCAAGCUUCGUGGCAGGAGAGUGGGGUUGAGGAGCCCCUGAAAUCAGAACACAUUUACCGCAAUGAUUUAGGAUGCUGUGGAGGAUGAAAGGAAGCUCAGAAGAAGGCAGAGCCAAAAAUGAAUAUGCAAAUCAGGAUGCAAAUGAGACAUGCUGACUUUGGGCCAAGAUGUUUUUUACUUAGUAAUGAAGGUUUGGUGAUUACACUGAUAAUUAUGCCCGUCUUAUUUAUGGUCAUUGCUCAUAGUUGUGACCAAGGUUAUUGCUUUUUACACAUACAUGUUGUUCACCCUCAGCUUGUUUGGGGUUUUCCUUUUCUUUCCCAAGGUCCCAAGCAAACGAUUCAUGUGUGAACUUGAAUCACCAUGUAUCCUGAAGAUGGGAAAGAUCAUCCCUGUGACACAGCUCUCAUCCAAGUUGACGUUUAACUCUCACAAGGGAACGUGCACGCGGAGUAGCUUCAGCGCUUCCCGUGUGAGGGGCUCUGUCCCUCCAGCAGCCAGCCGUGUCGUCAGGAGCGGGGCCACAUGCUGAGUGUCUGAGACACCGGGCACGCCACUUGGACAUUUUCAUGUUCAGACUUCCGCUAUGAGAAUGGAAAUGGCCAUACACCUGCACGCCUGGGGCUUCCUUCUUCUGUGACUUGCCACCCACGCUGGACCGAGGAAGGAGGUCACGUUCACGUUCACCUCACACGUUCCAGUAGACGAUUCUCAGUCUGUCCCACGGUUUUUGUUUUUGUUUUUGUUUUUUUUCCUGAACUUGAAUCUCAGAGAUUUUUUUUCACACUCAUUGAUUUAAUCCUGAUGCUUCGUUUAAAAUUAUUCCCAUCAUGCUCUCUAUUGACAGAGGCGGUCCACCGCGGUCGGUUUUCAGCAAUGGGAAGCAGCAGCGUGGGCUCCUUAGGUACCUGGGUUCUAGCAGCAAACAGACCUGGUCUCAGUCCAGGCUUAACGGAUUAUUGAAUGUGUCAUCCACGGCAAGUUACGUAUCUCCCCUAAUUCCCGUCUGUGAAAUGGGAAUGAUAACAUUCUCCUCGUAGUGAAGAUUCAACUGGGUGAUGCGUUAAACAGGGUGCUAGGGUGUAGCACCUAGAAAUGCUCAACAAACCUCUUUUUACUAACAUUACUACUCUCGUCAUCGUCGUCACCCUUGCCGUAGCCGUCCGCAUAACUUAUGACCAAGUGUCUCACCUCAUCCCCCUCCCCACCCCCCUGACUUAUUUCUGUCCUCAAGAGGACUUUCUGCCACAGGAGAAGAGAUCUUUUUAAGAGCAGUGAGCUGUGAGACACGUAAGGGACAGGCCAGGACAUUUGUGGCAUAAGGGGUAUCGAUGCCUUCGUGGAAAGACUGUUAAGAGAAUUCAGUGAGACUGAAGGAAAUCACACGUACAAACAGCAAGGACACAUAGUAAGUGCUCAGGGAAAGUGAAAUUGGAGUUGUGUUACCCACCACAGACCCUCUCUGUCUCCUCACCGGGGGGAGACAUUCUGUCCUGAGCAUCUUUCUUCCGGCAGGAACUUGAGGGCUUAUCUCCUGGGCGUGGAACUCUUCAAAGGAGUUCAGAAGUCCUCAACUAGUGUUUCAGGCUAUCUACAGCAGUGAUUCUCAACCGUAAAGCAUGGAGCAAACUUAUCGGGGUGGAGGUGAAAGUGUAAACUCGUAGGGAUCUCGGAUAUGUCAAAACUUUGGGAAGACCCUUCUCUCUCCCCCCCUCCCCCCAUACACACACACACACUCAUCACACUUGGUUCAGAAAGCUGGGCCAAUUGAAUAUGACUUCUCCCUGAACUUGCUGAAUAUUGAGCAAUACGGUAGCACACACACAAAUUUAAACUGAGAGUGAAAACAGAAACCGUUAAUCUAUUUUCAUCUCUAUCUCAUACUUCACUUGCGCAGAGUAGAGCAUUAUUUCCACACUCUGAAAUGGCCCAUUCGCCAAUAGGAGGAUGCGCAGAUCUUUCCGGAAUAGCUCUAUCAUGUUAUAUAAGGUUCUGUUAGAACGGGUGGUUUCCCAAAAGAGGAAGUACAAACCUUCCCUAGAAAAGGCAGUUGGGAGUAAUCCAAAAAUCAGAGUUCAGUCCGAAUAGGUGGGAACCAGGCCCAAACACCAGAAACCGAGGACACAGAGAACAGAAGAGAGAACGGGGAAUGAACACGAGUUGAUGCUGAUUUCGGAAGCAUCCACCUGACAGAGGCAGGUGCCCGAAAAACCCCGCGAUGGGCUCUGGGAGUCCUCCUCAGGGCUCUCGGGGCGAUGUGUGUGCAUCAGACCAGGAGUAGGGAGCACGUACCUGGGCCCAGUGCAGCAUGGUCUGCACAGAUGUUCCCGCGGAGCUCUGUGCCAAAUAAACGUCCAAGCGACUCUGCAAAGUGGAGAUUAUUUCUCACCGGGAGGCUAAUCAUUUGACCACACCGCAAGUAAACUUGAAUAUUCUCUUUCUCUCUCUGGGGAAUGAACAUGGACCAUGCCCGCUUUAAGAACUUUCUCCUCCCGUAGCUCUGUUCUGUCCUGUACAGUUUUCAUAAAGCCCACAGAGGCCAUCCCGCCGGUCAAAGACACGAACAUGCCUUUUCUCUCCCGCCUCACCUCAGAUGGCCCAAGAGCACAGGGGGGUUGAGGGUGUGAGAGCCCCAGUGACCUUCGUCACCCUGUGUUAAGUCCCAAAGGACAUUCUGAGAGAGUUGUUCAUCGUGAGACAUUGAGAAAAGAUCUAAAUGUUUCCUUUGCCUUCUGAUUUUAAAAACACAGUGAGUAUUCCACAGGGCUCUCUGAAAGUUUGUGGAACAUAAUCCAUCCAGGAUUGUAACCUCCACUGACAUUUAGACUUUUUUCCGGAUGAAAAAAAAGAAACAACUUGAUAGUUUUCAUUGCCAUUUUUUUUUUUUUUUUUUACAUUUUAGUAUACAAAACGGUUAUUUUGCCACCAAAGUGAGCACAGAAAGAGCAUGGAGCUUUUAAAAAAAACACUACCCCUCAUGAGCUAGCCAAACCUACUGAAUCAAUAUCAAAAUCUCCAGGGUUGACUCCUGGACAUGUGUAUUCCUUCAAAGUUCCACAAACUCUACUCAGACAUCCCAGGAUAUCCUCCACUAAAAUAGACAUCCUUGCAGAGAUUCCAUAGGCCGGCCCCCAACAGUUAAAAAAAAGGGGGGGGGCAAUUUGACUGUAUAAAUGUACAACAAGGGCCCUCAGUGAAUGUUCUAGAAGGUCCUGUUAGGAAGUCUUCCUCUGGCAAACUCUUAAGCCAUGUCGAGAAGAUGCUUUUGAAAUUAUCCCUCUUGUGUUUGCUUACAGCUCCUUGCCAGCUCUGCCUACAUGAUAGGCUACCAUCUAAGCGACAGGCCCGUGCAAUCCCCUUGGUAAAUGGAGAAAACAGAAAAGGAGUGUGAAAAGGCAGGGGUUAAGGCAUGCUUUGCAUAAACGGCUAUUUAUACAUCUCGUCUGAAAGCAAGAAAAGUGUUUAAUCAGUGCUCUCCAGUAACAGAGGGAGACUAGGCUCUGGGCGGAAAUCUGUGCGAUAGUCGGAGACCAUUUUCAACUAUGUCCUGCUUCUGGUUUCAAAGAUACCUCCUCUCUGGCUGGGGAGUGAACAGUAGCUUUCCGUCUUCCACCUCCCCCCUAGUCAGCUCACGGUGACUAAAGAAGAAAAGGAUUUCAGCUGGAGAGGACUCCCCAAGAAACCCAACUGAUCCCUCUCAGCGUCCCUUCAACUGUGAAUCUGUAGCUAUCAUUGGAAAGCCAUCCCUUAAUCCCAAUGGAUUAAAGAAGUCAGUGGUUCACAAAAUGACUAUUUCUAGAUCACCUAUGAAAGUGGAAAAUUGGUUUAAAAAUUACAGAUGCUUGGGCAUACUGAAAUUCUACUUCAGGAGGUCUGAGAUAGGCAGACCUCAGGCACAGCGAGAUAAAUUUCAAAACCAUAGUCUUCAUGUCAGUGGAGGACCUUUCCAAUGGCAGCGCUUUGGCCAACGGCAAGGGUUGGUGAGAAUGUUCGGUGGCAAAGCCUUCUCAAAUCCUCCUACUAAAGCAGGUGGAACCGCCUCCCGCCCCCCAGCUUCAGUCGGAAGCCAUCAACAUACAAUUUCAAAUCAGGAGACAAAAAGGAGACCUUGAGAUGUGGCUUUCGUGCAAUUCAGAGCACAUUCUCCUCUCCUCUGUGCAACAAAAUAAUUGCUUUUCUGGAUCCGACUACUUACACGUACCAUGUUUAAGUUUUUUGGGUCAAAUCCACUCAAAGUAAACAGGAAGUUGCUGCAGAGAUGACGGAAUAGCUUCCGGUUGCAUACCUUGGUGGCAAUGAAUUGGUCAAAAAAGGUAUGAGGGUAGAACAUCUUGUCACCAAAUAACGCCUGCAAGAUCAAUUUGAGAUGCCAUCAGAUUUCAUGGAUGUGGAUGUCAAAAGUGGAAAGUGAGUGGUCAUUCAGCCAAGGAUCGGACAGAGGUGAUAUCUGCUCAGUGCUAGUCCUCAGUAAAAUGGAAAGGCCUGGUACAUUUUGUUUUUGGUUCUCCCAACCCACCUUUGUGGUCUUCUCAACACAUCUCAUGAUUCCCUUUCCCAAGGUCCUCUACUUGGGGUGUUUUUCAGAAUGCCCUCUGAGAAAUUAGCCACCGUAGGAAAUUGAUAAGGCUUUGGAGUCACAGAUACCUUGGUUUGAUUCUGGACUCUGUCUUUGCACCUUAAGGAAGUAUUUAAUUUCUAUUAUCCUGAACUUUCUCGAUGAUAAAAUAAAAAAUUAACAUGCUAUGUUGUGAAGGACUGUUGUCAAGAUAAUAAGUCAUGUUUAAAAGGUACCUACUGAAUCUUCUAGAACCUAGUAAACAUUCCCCAAACAAUAGCUAUUAUUACAAGUAGUGAAUGAUAUAGACUUAAUGAGCCAUUCCUUCCAGAAUCUUUUAGUAAACACUUCCAGAGGCAAAACUUAAUCGCCCUAAAAUGAAUUUUUACUAGUGAAAUUUCAGGCAAUGUUGCCAGUGAGUUGAACUUACUUUUUGAACUCUAGGAAUCCCUUCAAAUUAGAACAUACAUUCAUAUCAAACUCCUGUGCAUAUAAGACAAAUCUUACCUUUGCUUCACAAAAACUAGUUUUAUAAUCUUAGGAUAAUGAACUAGAUAUGAGGAUGAAAAAGUAUCUUUUAAUUCUUUUGGAAACAUCCAUUUACAGUAAAACAAAACAAAACAAAACAAAACAAAACAAACCUCGCUUAUCUUUUUCCUGGAAUCCUUUAUUGACUGGUGAUUACAACAAUCAAUUAGAUUAGAUUAGAACAAUAAUAACUAGCAUUUAUUUUUAUUGCGUUAGUGCACGAUAAGAUCUCAGGCUAUCUUUGGUAAACUUGAUCCGGUGAAUUCCUCCUGGGUAGAGUUGGUUGAAUUCUGAAUUUGAAAAGUGGUUAUUUUAUAUGAUCAAAGGUAAUCUUCAUUUAAUGGAAUAUUUGAUAUCCCAUGGAAUAUUAAUGAAUCUAUGACACACCGUGACUUUAUCUACCCCUUCCUAUGGGAGUGGGGGAGGGAGGAAGGGAAAAAAAAAAGAGGCUAUAAUUGUUAAGCUAGUUCAAAUCAUAUUUCUUUAGGUCGGGAAGGCAAUAAUUAACCAUGGCAGACAUUAUCUAAUUCAUUCUGGCCUCUUAUUCAUUUUGUCUCAAUCACUGGGACACUUGAACAAUAUAUUAGAUAAUUUAUUAAGCCACUUAUCAAAUUGUAACUCUUCCUGUGUAACUGUCUACAUGGUAAUUAGUAGUAGCCACAGACACAUAGAGAGAACUUUUGUUUUGUUUUGUUUUUAAAGAAUGGCUUCUU